ACUUGUGGAAGUGAAAGCCUAGCUGUGUCUGUAAGAGGAAGUGUCUGUAUAAUGUUUCUUCACUUUAGGCUCUCUGGAUGAAGCUCUGAAGCUCCAGACCCAAAGCUAGACAAGUUUGAAAGAUCUUCCAAGCCAACUCAUGGGCGCAUCUAGCAACGUUACAGCCUUUAAACCUCAUAAUAAUUUAUUUGACCACUGGUAGCCUAUGUACUGUAUAUCCUGGGUGGCCUAGUGUAGCCUACUAUAUAGUAGAGCUAGUCGUCCAGUACGCUAUGUAGGUAGUGCUUUAUAUGUCCGAUACUCCAGCACGCCAUAAAUCAACGUACUCAAUAUAACCUAGUGCAUUGUACAGUAUAUCCAGUUGUCCAACAGCCUAGUUAGUGUGCUAGACAGUAAUAUGUCCAAAAAGUCUAUUAUACAACAGUUAUUUCCAGUCCACAUAUUCGAGUUCGAAGAGUGCUGAUAUUCAGUGCAGCAGCACCUGGACAUUUCACUGUUUGUAUGUUCGAAAAAAAUUCCAAAUCGAGCAAUAGUUCGUUACGCUGGAACCAUUAUUACACUUAGUACGUACAUCGUGUCAGUCAGAGUGUGUGUCGGCAUGGCAACACGCAACACUCUAUCCAGCUGGGGCUUCUUUGCGAACUAUUGGUCGGAUUGGUGGGAUCAGACCAGACGGGCUAGCCUUCACUGUUCGUGUGCAUCAGUUGCGGAGUAAAGCCUGGAACAAUACAUUUAAUAUUGUGGAACAUCCAUUAAACAAGUAGAUGCCCACGACCUGUGCAUCAGUGACGCUGUCUCUGUCUCCGGUUCACCGCUUGUCCUUCCUCGGAUCGCUGUUCGUAUGUCCUCACCACUGCGUACCAGAAACACCCCACAAGACCUGCCGUUUUGUAGACGCUCCGACCCGGUCGUCUGACCAUCACAAUCCGGCCCUUGUAAAAGUCACUCAGAUCCUUACGCUCGCCCAUUUUUCCUGCUUCCAUCACAUCGACUUUGAGAACUGACGGAUCACUUCCUCCCUCAUAAAUACACCCCACCCCUCGACAGGUGCCACUGUAACGAGACAAUCAAAAAGUUAUUCACGUCACCUGUCAGUGGUUUUAAUAUUACGGCUGACUGCUGUAUAUUACAAUAUAGCCCAUUCUGUCUGUGUUUAGAAAUAUAUUAGUAACAUAUUGCAGUAUUUUCUGUUUCCGUGAUUGAUCUGGCGCUCACUGAGAACUUGUUAUAGUAAAAGCGUGUGUGUAUGACUUUUGUACCUUUAGUUAGAAGAUUGAAUCGUCAUAAAUAAAAAGACAUAAUUGUAGAGGAGCCUUUAUUUAUUUAUUUAUUUUUUCUCCCAUUACGUCUAUUGUCGUAUCUCUGAAAGUAUGUUUACGAGGUCCGUGUCUUGCAUCAGGUUAUAACUGAUUACGUGAUCCGCUCUGUGUCUGUGUGUUAGCGAUCCGAAGGGGGGAAGUGGUAACUCAUAACUGACAUGGAGGUGAUAAGUUAAAUUAUUGCGCAACGGUUCAGCAUGUUUAAAUCCCCUGCAAUGCUGAUAUGAAAAUAAAGGCUUAUCUGUUAACACAUCCGACUCCGUCACUGUCGCUGUGCCUGAAUUCUGGCAAACAGCCCCAAAAAAAAAAGAAAAACAAUUUUACACACUCCAGCUUCAGGAAAGCAUUCGUAUAUUGGUGUGUGAGCUCGUGUGGUGGAUAGUGCUUAUGUUCAAGUGUGUUAUUCCGCCUUUCGACGCAGUAUUUCGCUAGUAUUUGGCUGGUGUUACAUGUCUUGAUGUUUUAGGGUUAAAAGGACUUUGUAGACUUUAAAUUUGUAAAAAAAAAAAAAAAUUGAAAAAAUAAAAAAUUCAA